GGAAAAACAAGAUGAUGUCAUGUCAUAAUGGAUUAAUGCUUUGUAUGGACUCUUCAUUUUGAUUGGAGACACAGAAGAGAGCUGAAUUAACUAAGCACACCCUCCUUGGAACCCAGACACCACUUUCUGAGCAGCUACAUGAAGAGAGCACUUGGUGGGCUUUGGCCAUGGCUCCAUCUGAUAUCUUAGCUGAUAGCAUCAACAAUGAAGGAGUCAUCAGGAGACACUUGGUGAUAUUGAAGUUCAAGAGAAAGAACAUCAAGGGAGGCAGAAGUAGUGAACAAGAGGAAGACUGAGGACCCCCAAACUUGGACAUGACUCAGUAGAAACACACUGUAAAAUUUUCAGAAAGUUCAAGAUUCCUCUUGCUUCUGAUUAAAAGGGUCACAGCCCUCCCUAGUCCAGGUGCUGAAUAUGCAGUGUGGAAUAAUGGAGUAUUCCUAUUUUCGUAGAUUUUACAUGAUCGUGAAGAAAGCAAAAACUGACACAUACUUAUGUAAUAAUGAUAUCAAGGUUAUGAAGCAAAAAAAAUUGAAUAAGGCAGUGGAGAAUAUACGACAAGAGAAAGAAGCCAUCUGAGAAGCUGACUCCCUGCCCCAGUCAAGCCUUCAGAUGACUGUAGCCCCUGGCAAUAUCUUGGGGGCAAUGGAAGGAGACACCCUGAACCAAUCCACACAGAGAAGCUGACCCUGGAUUCCUGAGCUGGAGAGGCUGCUGCCAUGAAGUGAAAAAUCUACUCUGCCACACACAUUCCUACUGCCAUAAUGCACUGUGCCAUCACAGACACAAAGCAACUGGGCCAAGUGUCAUUGGAAUGCAACUGGUUUGAGCAAGGAAAUUCUAUGGAAGGAUCUGAAGAACUGGAUUGAUCGGCCCUUUGCUGUCUAUCCCCACGUAAGAAGAGAACUGCAAGUGCCAAGGCUCAGAAAUGUUCAAGAGUCGGCAUCCUCUGAGUUCCUUUGCAGGCUCUUCAUCAACCUAGGUGGAAUGUGUGGCUGGCAGGAAGCCAGCAUCAUCCCUUGAUCCCCUCCUCCAUAUGACUCAGCACAGAUCGGACACUUUAAUAGCUUCUGAGUCCAAGUUUGAACUCGCCCCAAAUGAAAGCCUCCCUCCCCUCAGUGCUUCCCCUACCUUCACAGCCCACUCUCCAUUUCCAAUUUAUCUGCUAG
rnacentral:lncRNA from 1 species